rnacentral:rRNA from 1 species
UACGUAUGGUGCAAGCGUUAUCUGGAUUUACUGGGUGUAAAGGGAGCGCAGGCGGCACGGCAAGCCUGAUGUGAAAGCCCGCGGCCCAACCGCGGGACUGCAUUGGGAACUACCGGGCUGGAGUGCCGGAGAGGUAGGCGGAAUUCCUAGUGUAGCGGUGAAAUGCGUAGAUAUUAGGAGGAACACCAGUGGCGAAGGCGGCCUACUGGACGGUGACUGACGCUGAGGCUCGAAAGCGUGGGGAGCAAACAGG